CUGGCCCUGCGUCCGCCAUGAAGCGGAAGGCUCCCGACUCGCAGGAGCAGGCGUGCAUGCUGUGCCGCCGGGCAGACGCCAACGCCGACAUCUGUGGGCCGAAGCACGAGAAAGGAGGGCUCUGCGUCCAUGAGAACUGCCUGUUCCUGGCCAGCUGGCUCUUCCAGCGCGGGAGCAGGCAAGAAGGCAUCUGCGGGUUCAUGCCCGUGGACAUCAAGUGGAAAAU